rnacentral:hammerhead_ribozyme from 1 species
AUCCAGCUGAUGAGUCCCAAAAAGGACGAACGCGCUUCCUGGAU